GUCAUUGGGACUAGCGAAACCUAAAGGCGAAAUGAAAGUGAAGGUCGGCCUUGCGCCAACCGAGGGAGGAUGGGACGCGUGUCAACGCGACCCCGCACUCCCGGGGCGUCUCGUUCUCAUUGCGAGAAGAGGCGCACCUAGAGCGUACACGCUGGGACCCGAAAGAUGGUGAACUAUGCCUGGUCAGGACGAAGUCAGGGGAAACCCUGAUGGAGGUCCGAAGCGAUUCUGACGUGCAAAUCGAUCGUCGGAACUGGGUAUAGGGGCGAAAGACUAAUCGAACCAUCUAGUAGCUGGUUCCCUCCGAAGUUUCCCUCAGGAUAGCUGGCGCUCGCUUUUGCGAGUCUCAUCUGGUAAAGCGAAUGAUUAGAGGCAUUGGGGUCGAAACGGCCUCAACCUAUUCUCAAACUUUAAAUGGGUGAGAUCUUCGGCUUGCUUGAGUAGUGAAGCCGCGAGAUCGGAUCAGAGUGCCAAGUGGGCCAUUUUUGGUAAGCAGAACUGGCGCUGUGGGAUGAACCAAACGCAGAGUUAAAGCUCCUAAAUCAACGCUUAUUAGAUACCAUGAAAGGCGUUGGUAACUUAAGACAACAGGACGGUGGCCAUGGAAGUCGGAAUCCGCUAAGGAGUGUGUAA
rnacentral:rRNA from 1 species